rnacentral:lncRNA from 1 species
UAUAUAUAUAUAUAUAUAUAUAUAUAUAUAUAUAUAUAGAGUUUAACUGGGCUACUAUCGGUAGUAAACUACUCGGUUUAAUUACUACCGAUUUGUUUUUUAUGAUAGAGCUUCCAAAUCGACGAUCGGCAUCGUUGAACAUGAUCUAAACCAUUUAAAUUAUCUAAAAAUCAAAUUUUAUAAUUUUUUGGCAUCACUAACUGAACGAUCAAAGGGUCACAAAAUCUAUAAUUUUAAUGACCGAUAUGGUGCAUUUGCUCGUUUAACGGUAUAGAAGAGUUCAAAUUAACUAAAUUUUUGUUAAAAAAUUUUUUAAACUAUUUAAAAUAAGAUCUAGACUCUAGAUCUCAAAUAUAAAAAUUGUAUCAUCACUUUUUGAAGGAUAUUCAUUUCCAGCCAUUCAUUUUUAUGUUCACUUGAUGGACAAGAGAACAACAUUGAAAAUGUGUGAAAUUUGAUUUCCAGAUAGUUUAAAUAGAUAUAUAUGUGUGUGUAGAGAUGUUAACGGGUCGGAUUCGGGGCGGAUUUUUAAAAACCCGAACCCAAACCCGACUCCAAACCCGAGAUCUGAACCCGAACCCGAACCCGACGGAUUUUAAAAAUCCAUAUCCAAACCCGAACCCGACAAAAAAUCCGAAACCCGAACCCAAACCCGAACCCGAAAAUUUGAACCCGAAACAAUUAUUUCUUUUUUCAAUAUUUCAAAAUAUAUUAUAUCAAAUCUAAAUUUUUAAAAUACAAAUUCAAAUAUAACAUCAAAUUUUUAUAUAUAUAUUAUAUAUAAUACAAAAUAAAUUCGGGUUCGCGUCGGGUACAAUCAAAAUCCAUAUCCGAAUCCAUAUCCGUCGAGUUUCUAUUUUUGAUAUCCAUAUCCAUCGGAUAUAUCUGUUUCAUUCGGGUUCGGAUUCGGAUAAAAUUUCGGAUAUCCAUACCCAUUGACAUCCCUAUGUGUGUGUGUGUGUGCACCCGUAUUAGUCUGCUUGAGGGAAAGAGAGAGUGUUACAGUCGUUUGUAAUUCCAAAAGUUUA